rnacentral:rRNA from 1 species
UACGAGGGGGGCAAAUGUUGUUCGGAAUCACUGGGCGUAAAGGGAGCGUAGGCGGGCUUCUAAGUUAGGUGUUUAAUCCCGGGGCCCAACCCCGGUCAGGCACCUAAAACUGGGAGUCUUGAAUAGUGGAGAGGUCAGUGGAAUUGGGGGUGUAGCGGUGGAAUGCGUAGAGAUCCCCAAGAACACCAGUUGCGAAGGCGGCUGACUGGACACAUAUUGACGCUGAGGCUCGAAAGCAUGGGGAGCAAACGGG